CCGCCAUGAUUGUGAGGCUUCCCCAGCCAUGUGGAAACAUAUUCGCAGAGCACCCACUAGGUGCCAGUAAAUGUAUGAGAAGUCCUGUGGAAUAAGACUGAAGUUGUCCUUGCCUUCAAGCAACUUGCAAUUGCCUAAGAACACAGUUUAAAACCACAAAACUAAGCCUUGGAAAUCACAUGCUGUCAUUUCUGCGAUCGGUCAUAACCAGUCCUGAUUCCAUGUUAGAGGAGACUACAUAAGGACACAGGUACCAGAAGAUGAAAAAUUUGGAGUCUAGUGAAAAGAAGUGACUUGCUCAAAAUCACACAGCACAUGAAGAACAGAGCCUCUAUGAUGAAUUUCUUGACAGCAUAAAGAAUUCUUGCAAACAACAAAGGAGACUUAGCUGAAACUUUUGGCCUC
rnacentral:lncRNA from 1 species